GCUUACAGCCAUACCACACUGAGCACGCCCAAUCUCAUACGAUCUCGGAAGCCAAGCAGUGCUCGGCCUGGUUAGUACUUGGAUGGGAGGCCAACUGGGAAUACCAGGUGCUGUAAGAU
ensembl:rRNA 5S_rRNA 5S ribosomal RNA